rnacentral:rRNA from 1 species
UCUGCAGGCGUUUUGGUUAGUCGUUCGUCUAAGCCUGGAGCUCAACUCCAGAAAGGCGAGCGAAACUGCCAAAAUUGAGUUUGUUUGGGGGAACUAGAAUUCUCGGUGGAGGGGUGAAAUCCAUAGAUAUCGAGAGGAAUACCAUACGCGAAGGCAGGUUCCUGGAACACAACUGACGCUCAGAGACGAAAGCAUGGGUAGCAAAAGGGAUUAGAGACCCCUGUAGUCCAUGCCGUAAAUGUUCCUUGCUAGCUGUUUUCACUUUUUAGUGGGGAUGGCGUAAGCUAACGCGUUAAGCAAGGCGCCUGGGGAUUACGACCGCAAGGUUAA